rnacentral:rRNA from 1 species
GGCUCAGGAUGAACGCUAGCGGCAGGCUUAACACAUGCAAGUCGAGGGGUAUUGGUUUUCGGACCAAGAGACCGGCGCACGGGUGCGUAACGCGUAUGCAAUCUACCUUUUGCAGAGGGAUAGCCCAGAGAAAUUUGGAUUAAUACCUCAUAGUAUAGUACUUUGGCAUCAAGGAACUAUUAAAGUCACAACGGCAAAAGAUGAGCAUGCGUCCCAUUAGCUAGUUGGUAAGGUAACGGCUUACCAAGGCUACGAUGGGUAGGGGUCCUGAGAGGGAGAUCCCCCACACUGGUACUGAGACACGGACCAGACUCCUACGGGAGGCAGCAGUGAGGAAUAUUGGACAAUGGGCGCAAGCCUGAUCCAGCCAUGCCGCGUGCAGGAUGACGGUCCUAUGGAUUGUAAACUGCUUUAUACAGGAAGAAACACUCCGACGUGUCGGAGCUUGACGGUACUGUAAGAAUAAGGAUCGGCUAACUCCGUG